UACGUAGGGUGCAAGCGUUAAUCGGAAUUACUGGGCGUAAAGGGCUCGUAGGCGGCCAACUAAGUCGGAUGUGAAAUCCCCAGGCUUAACCUGGGAACUGCAUCCGAUACUGGAUGGCUUGAAUCCGGGAGAGGGAUGCAGAAUUCCAGGUGUAGCGGUGAAAUGCGUAGAUAUCUGGAUGAAUACCGGUGGCGAAGGCGGCAUCCUGGACCGGCAUUGACGCUGAGUGAGCGAAAGCCAGGGGAGCAAACGGG
rnacentral:rRNA from 1 species